CGUGGGAGGCGUCGGCGAGCCGCGCCUGCCUGGCCAGAGCCGAGCCCCGCGGAGUCCGGCCGCGCUCUGCGGCUCUCUCCCGGGCCGGGCUCGUCCGUGGACGCCGCUCCGUGUCCCCGCUGGGCACAGCAGCCCGGGCCCUCCACAGCCACGGACGCUGGCCUGAGGUGGCCCUCCUUCAGCUCCCGCUCUUCCUGCUCGCCGGACACGGACGACCAGGGCGCCUGCGAAGAUGAUGCCAUCUGGGAGAGGUUUUUGGAGACCAAGCGUGGUGAUUCGGAGCGUGGACUCUGGAGCCAGACUCUGUCAGAUGGAGCCUCCUACACACCUAGGCCACAUGGGACUAAUCUUCUGGGACCCCCGUUGUUGACUGAAACGUCCCGAUGUAGGGCAUGACUGAACUGCCCAACUCCAA
rnacentral:lncRNA from 1 species